UACAGGGGGUGCUAGCGUUGUUCGGAAUUACUGGGCGUAAAGGGCGCGUAGGCGGUCCUACAAGUCAGGGGUGAAAUACCGGAGCUUAACUUCGGAAUUGCUUUUGAUACUGUAGGGCUAGAGUAUGUUAGAGGAUGGCGGAAUUCCUAGUGUAGAAGUGAAAUUCGUAGAUAUUAGGAAGAACACCGGUGGCGAAGGCGGCCAUCUGGGACAUAACUGACGCUGAGGCGCGAAAGCGUGGGGAUCAAACAGG
rnacentral:rRNA from 1 species